rnacentral:lncRNA from 1 species
UAGUGUGCUAAGUUUUUUUUAAGAUAAUGGAAUAUAAAAUCUCAGUCUUUGCUCAAAAGAGUUAUAGUCAAUUAUUACAUAGUAGCACUCAGAGCGUAAUUCCAAACAAAUAAAACAUACCACAAAGGAUAACAAAGAAUCCAAACUAACGUAAGGAGAUCACAAUCAUUGAAGUCUAUUUGUAAAUCUCUAACCAUAAUUGACAAAAAGUUGCAUAACCGUAGUCUAUAACUUGCGACAUGCAACUUUCAGAAACUCUUCAUCUUCAUCACACUUUUAUAAUUGUGCCAAAAACCGGAGCCAAUAAAUUGCCCUGAAAAUUACCUGUAUAUAGAAAAAUGAUGGUGAUUUAGUGUGCUAAUGAAAACCAAAAUAAAAUUUAUAUCUUACUUGGAAUAAGAAGGACCAAAUAAUUGCUAUUUCUUCUCAAACAUGGUCGUAAGCUUCUCUCAUCUAACAUGUUCACAAAACUCGAUCGAUGUGAUGCAUUCAUACAAGAGUUUGAGAAAAGUUUCAUCGAUGUGAGCCGCGUUUGAAUGAUGCGCAUGCGGCCAUCGGGCCAUUGUUCACAACAGAUCGCUUGUCCUGCCCGCUAACCCACGUCAGAUCGAACGAAUAAACGCGUACGCCUAUCUACGUAGGUUGAUCGAUCUCGCCGGCGCUGCGCCUAGCUCACCAGUCAUCAACGCGCACAAGCUAAGCUAGCCAAUGCAACGACCGACACGGCCGCCCGCCCACGCAUGCAUGCCACCACUAGCUAGCUAGCUGCUUGACAUCAGUCUUUCAUAAUUAGUACUUCCUCCGUUUCAAAUUACAACUUUUUUUUACUUUGAUUAAUAUUAAACUACUUUAAAAUUUAACUAAGUUUAUAGAUAAAUAGUAAUAUUUGUAACACCAAAUUAGUUUCACUAGAUCAAUAAUUGAAUAUAUUUUCAUAAUAUUGUCUUAUAGUAGUUUGAACGACUAUAAUUUUUUAUAAUACACUGGUGGAAAAAUCAUCUUUCGUCGGUCCGGCAAAAUCCACAAUAGUCCCGGAUCCAAAAAGAACCGGGACUAAAGAUUGUUUUUAGUCCCGGUUAUAAAAAUUUUGAUCUACCAACCAGGACUAAAGAUGAUCUUUAGUCCCGGUUUAUCCCUUGUCAGAUGUAUGUCAGGGGCCGAGAAUCUUUAGUCCCGGUUGGUGUCAAUAACUGGGACUAAAGAUCACCACUUUAGUCACGGUUGGUACUACCAACCGGAACUAAAGAUUAAGAUAAUCUUACCAACCGGGACUAAAAUUAAACACGUAGUAUAUAAUCCCUAUCCCUUAUCCUCUCCUCCACACUUAUCCCCUCUCCUCAGAUCUAACUCUCUUCCUCAUCCCCUCUCCAACUCCUCCCCUUCCUCCUCUCCUCCCCUUCUCCCCUUCCUCCUCCCCCCUCCUCCCCUUCCCAUCCGGCCGGCCGGCGGGCGGCGGCUGGCGGCGCCGCGCGUGGCGGCGAGCGGCGGCGGCCGUGGCGGGCGGUGGGGCGGCGCCCGGCGGAGGCCGGCAGGGCCGCGGCCGGCGGCGGGCGGCGGGGCCGCGGCGUCGCGCGCGGUGGCGGGCGGCGGGGCCGCGGCGUCGCGCGCGGUGGCGGGCGGCGGCGGCCGGGGCGGGCGGAGGGGCCGCGGCCGGCGGGUCCGCGGCAGGCGGGGCCGCGCUCGGCGGUCGUGGCGAGCGGCGGCAGCAGCGGCAUUGGUUUUUUUUAAAAAAAUUUGUGAUGAUUCACUGAGAUGUAUUUGACUGAGAAGUUAUAAAUUUGUGAUUCAUUGUUUGGAUCUGUGAUGUAUUUGAGUAAUUUCUUAGGAUAUUGUGAUGUAUUUGAUUUGUGUGUAUAAGUAAUUUUAUGAUUUGUGAUGUGGGUUUGGUGAUGUGAAUUUGGGAUGUUAUUUUGAUUUGGGGAUUUGCCUACUUGAUUCGGGAGAAAAUAAAAAGGGAAAAAGAAAAAGAAAAUGGGGAACAUCUGGUACUGCCGCUAUUGUCUCUUUAGUCCCGGUUGGUAACAUCAACCGGGACUAAAGAUCCUCUCUCUUUAGUCCCGGUUGGUGGUACCAACCGGGGACUAAAGAUGUAUCUUUAGUCCCGGUUAUUUCAACCGGGACUAAAGAUCUUUAGUCCCGGAUCCUUACUCCCGGUUGAAAAACCGGGACUAAAGGGGGUUCCCAACCGGGAGUAAAGAUGGUUUCUCCACCAGUGAUAUAAGUCGUUUGAUUUUAAUCAAAGUCAAAACGACUUAUAAUCUGAAACGGAUAGAGUAGUAAAAAAAGACAUAGUACAUGAGAAUUGCGCACAAAUUUAACAGAAUCAAUUAAACUGGUGUACUAGAUCAUUUGGAAUUAAUAACAUGGAAGGAAAAUGGGCAUGUUAACCUGUUUUGUGGCUGGACUGCAGCCGACACCAAUCGUGCCGCACGCACACGGUGUAGCCACAGCCGCAGCUGCAGCCACCGCAAACAGCUUGCCGAACAGGCCAUUGCUGCAGCUACUGCACGGGCUGCAGUUACAAGCCAGCAACGUUGGUAUGCAGUGCCUCGUCCCACCUGAAGGCUGCAGCGCAGCUACAACAACACCUGCUUAACAGACCCAAUAGCCGUGCUCUGAGAUGAAUAACCUAACUAUGAGGCUGGUCGGGAGAGAUUGCUACGGUCGUGUAGCCGCGGCAGCAGCAAUCACAACACAAUUCAGGAGCAUUGGCUGCAGCUGCUAGCCAAACAGACCCAAUUCGUGUAGUUGUAGUUUUAGAGCAGCUAGCCGCAGC